UACGAAGGGGACUAGCGUUGCUCGGAAUCACUGGGCGUAAAGCGCACGUAGGCGGCUUUCUAAGUCAGGGGUGAAAUCCUGGAGCUCAACUCCAGAACUGCCUUUGAUACUGGGAAGCUCGAGUCCGGAAGAGGUGAGUGGAACUGCGAGUGUAGAGGUGAAAUUCGUAGAUAUUCGCAAGAACACCAGCGGCGAAGGCGGCUUUCUGGACCAAUACUGACGCUGAGACGCGAAAGCGUGGGGAGCAAACAGG
rnacentral:rRNA from 1 species